rnacentral:rRNA from 1 species
GCCUACGGGAGGCAGCAGUCGAGAAUCUUUCGCAAUGGACGAAAGUCUGACGAAGCGACGCCGUGUGAGCGAAGAAGGCCUUCGGGUUGUAAAGCUCUUUCGCUAGGGAACAAGAGAAAGUGAUGAAUAAUCAUUUGAUUUGAGGGUACCUGGUAAAGAAGCACCGGCUAACUCCGUGCCAGCAGCCGCGGUC